AUAAAGGGAUGGGGUAAAAACAGGAUAAUCAAAAAGAGGGAAUAUGGGUUCUUCUUCAAAAUGUGAAAUCCAUUUGGGAUUUCGAAUCUCUGAUUCUCCUCCUCACAGCGGCGAUUAAGACGAGGAAUGGUCUUCAUUGUCUUCCUUCUCUCCUCCAACGAUAACAACGGUAGUUUGGGGUUAGCGAAAUCGAAGGAAUCAUCUCCCUUUUCCUUGGUUCGAACCGAUCGAGACCCUCCACCAUAAAGGGAAGCGCCGAUUUAUGGUGGUUCUCACGGCUGGAACCACCUUCUUCCCAGUGGCUCUAAAAAAACAGUGAAUCCUCCCAUUAAAGCAUUGGAGGGAGUUAAGUGGGGAUAUCUGUUUUUUCCUUAAUAUGCUCUCUUGAAAGCCAAAUGCUACAUGGUUUUGAAUUAUUGGAUGUAAAUGCUUAUUAAUUGUCUGAAUUAAGGAUGUAGACAAUGACUUGAAUUGCAUGCUGUAAAUUAGAAUUAAUUUAUUGUCAAAUGUUAUAUAAUUAAUUGAUAUCCUACCAUAUUACCAAAGUUGUAACAAAUCUAAUUUUUAAAGUUGUGUAAUUGGAGUUUUUUUAAGCCCCAAUAAUUACAAUAUAUAUCAACC